rnacentral:tRNA from 1 species
GCCUGGGUGGCUCAGUCAGUUAGGCAUCCGACUUCAGCUCAGGUCAUGAUCUCACGGUUGGUGGGUUCAAGCCCCGCCUCGGGCU